UACAGAGGUGGCAAGCGUUGUACGGAAUUACUGGGCGUAAAGGGCGCGUAGGCGGCCAUCUAAGUCAGACGUGAAAUCCCCCGGCUUAACCUGGGAACUGCGUCUGAUACUGGACGGCUUGAGUAUGGGAGAGGGAUGUAGAAUUCCAGGUGUAGCGGUGAAAUGCGUAGAUAUCUGGAGGAAUACCGGUGGCGAAGGCGGCAUCCUGGACCAUUACUGACGCUGAGGCGCGAAAGCUAGGGGAGCAAACGGG
rnacentral:rRNA from 1 species